GACGAACGCGGCGGCGUGCCUAAUACAUGCAAGUCGAGCGAAGUUUUUCUGGUGCUUGCACCGGAAAAACUUAGCGGCGAACGGGUGAGUAACACGUAAAGAACCUGCCUCAUAGACUGGGACAACUAUUGGAAACGAUAGCUAAUACCGGAUAACAGCAUAACUGCAUGGUUGAUGUUUAAAAGUUGGUUAUGCUAACACUAUGAGAUGGCUUUGCGGUGCAUUAGCUAGUUGGUGGGGUAAAGGCCUACCAAGGCGACGAUGCAUAGCCGACCUGAGAGGGUGAUCGGCCACACUGGGACUGAGACACGGCCCAGACUCCUACGGGAGGCAGCAGUAGGGAAUCUUCCGCAAUGGGCGAAAGCCUGACGGAGCAACGCCGCGUGAGUGAAGAAGGAUUUCGGUUCGUAAAGCUCUGUUGUUAGGGAAGAAUGAUUGUGUAGUAAACUAUACACAG
rnacentral:rRNA from 1 species